UGGGGAAUCUUUGGACAAUGGGGGCAACCCUGAUCCAGCCAUGCCGCGUGAGUGAUGAAGGCCUUAGGGUCGUAAAGCUCUUUCGCCUGUGAAGAUAAUGACGGUAGCAGGUAAAGAAACCCCGGCUAACUCCGUGCCAGCAGCCGCGGUAAUACGGAGGGGGUUAGCGUUGUUCGGAAUUACUGGGCGUAAAGCGCACGUAGGCGGACCAGAAAGUUGGGGGUGAAAUCCCGGGGGCUCAACCCCGGAACUGCCUCCAAAACUAUUGGUCUAGAGUUCGAGAGAGGUGAGUGGAAUUCCAAGUGUAGAGGUGAAAUUCGUAGAUAUUUGGAGGAACACCAGUGGCGAAGGCGGCUCACUGGCUCGAUACUGACGCUGAGGUGCGAAAGUGUGGGGAGCAAACAGGAUUAGAUACCCUGGUAGUCCACACCGUAAAACGAUGAAUGCCAGUCGUCGGGUAGCAUGCUAUUCGGUGACACACCU
rnacentral:rRNA from 1 species